AUCACCUUAAAUGGCAUUGGAUACUUUGAACACAACAGUGGUUUCUCCAAUCUAUUAUGCAUUGUUCGCUUUGUUUACAAUAUUAGCCGGUGCAAUCAUGUUUAAGGAUUAUUUAGGACAAAGUAUGAGCAGUAUUGCAUCAGAGCUAUGUGGUUUCAUCAUUGUUUUAUCUGGAACAACUGUAUCGCACUACACUAGAAUACCAGAUCCUCCCGUCAAUACCGAUGUAUACAGUCCCCUGUCACCAAAACUUUAUCAGCAUUACAAACAUAAUGAAGAACAUUUUUGGAGAAUACAACAACAACACAAAAAUCAAAUGCAAAACCUGUUUGAUGAAGGCCUCUAUUUCGUGUUUCUGUUGAAGGAUCAAGAAUGGAAUCUUUGGUGUCGGACUGUCUGUUCAGUUGGAACAGGUAACUCCGUGGCAGUGGC
rnacentral:lncRNA from 1 species